rnacentral:rRNA from 1 species
CGCCGCCGCGGUAAUACCGGCGGCUCGAGUGGUGGCCACUUUUAUUGGGCUUAAAGCGUUCGUAGCUGGGUUGUUAAGUCUCUUGGGAAAUCUGACGGCUUAACCGUCAGGCGUCUAAGGGAUACUGGCAAUCUUGGAACCGGGAGAGGUGAGGGGUACUUCGGGGGUAGGAGUGAAAUCCUGUAA